AUACGUAGGUGACAAGCGUUAUCCGGAUUUACUGGGCGUAAAGGGCGUGUAGGCGGUCUUGCAAGUCAGAAGUGAAAUUCCUGAGCUCAACUCGGGCGCUGCUUCUGAAACUGCCGGACUUGAGUGCUGGAGGGGAUAGCGGAAUUCCUAGUGGAGCGGUAAAAUGCGCAGAUAUUAGGAAGAACACCGGUGGCGAAGGCGGCUAACUGGACAGUAACUGACGCUGAGGCGCGAAAGCGUGGGGAGCAAACAGGAUUUGAUACCCUGGUAGUCCACGCCGUAAACGAUUAAUACUAGGUGUAGGGGGUAUCGACUCCCUCUGUGCCGCAGUUAACACAAUAAGUAUUCCGCCUGGGGAGUACGGCCGCAAGGUUGAAACUCAAAGGAAUUGACGGGG
rnacentral:rRNA from 1 species